AUUGAACGCUGGCGGCAUGCCUUACACAUGCAAGUCGAACGGCAGCACGGGGGGUAACCCCUGGUGGCGAGUGGCGAACGGGUGAGUAAUAUAUCGGAACGUGUCCUGUAGCGGGGGAUAACCUAUCGAAAGAUGGACUAAUACCGCAUACGACCUACGGGUGAAAGCGGAGGACCGCAAGGCUUCGCACUAUAGGAGCGGCCGAUAUCGGAUUAGCUAGUUGGCGGGGUAACGGCCCACCAAGGCGACGAUCCGUAGCUGGUCUGAGAGGACGAUC
rnacentral:rRNA from 1 species